rnacentral:rRNA from 1 species
UACAGAGGUCUCAACCGUUGUUCGGAUUUAUUGGGCGUAAAGGGUGCGUAGGCGGCGGGGCAAGUCAGGUGUGAAAUCUCGGGGCUCAACCCCGAAACUGCACUUGAUACUGCCUUGCUCGAGUACUGGAGAGGAGACUGGAAUUUACGGUGUAGCAGUGAAAUGCGUAGAUAUCGUAAGGAAGACCAGUGGCGAAGGCGAGUCUCUGGACAGUUACUGACGCUGAGGCACGAAGGCCAGGGGAGCAAACGGG